rnacentral:rRNA from 1 species
GUAGGUGGCAAGCGUUGUCCGGGAAUUAUUGGGGCGUAAAGCGCGCGCAGGCGGUUCUUUAAGUCUGAUGUGAAAGCCCACGGGCUCAACCGUGGAGGGUCAUUGGAAACUGGAGAACUUGAGUACAGAAGAGGAAAGCGGAAUUCCACGUGUAGCGGUGAAAUGCGUAGAGAUGUGGAGGAACACCAGUGGCGAAGGCGGCUUUCUGGUCUGUAACUGACGCUGAGGCGCGAAAGCGUGGGGAGCAAACAGGAUUAGAUACCCUGGUAGUCCACGCCGUAAACGAUGAGUGCUAAGUGUUAGGGGGUUUCCGCCCCUUAGUGCUGCAGCUAACGCAUUAAGCACUCCGCCGUGGGGAGUACGGCCGCAAAGGCUG